UACGUAGGGUGCGAGCGUUGCCCGGAUUUAUUGGGCGUAAAGGGCGCGUAGGCGGCCUGGCGCGUCGGCUGUGAAAUCUCCCGGCUCAACUGGGAGGGGACGGCCGAUACGGCUGGGCUUGAGCGAGGUAGGGGAGAGUGGAAUUCCCGGUGUAGUGGUGAAAUGCGUAGAGAUCAGGAGGAACACCGGUGGCGAAGGCGGCCUACUGGGCCAGCACUGACGCUGAGGCGCGAAAGCUCGGGGAGCGAACGGG
rnacentral:rRNA from 1 species